AAGAGACUGUAGAGAUUUUCAACUUGGGGAAAUACUGUGUGAUUGACCUCUGUGUUUUCCCAAGAAUAGAAUCAAUAAUAAAUGAUAUUUUUAUUCGCAAGGGUUUAGGCUUCUGCCUCUCUGCACACUCAAGGUUAAGUUAAUAAAAUGUGUGUGGAAGUCUACAGCUCCAUCUGUUCAUUCCCGUACUCCAGAGAAGAACAAAGUAAAUACCAGGCCCUGCGGGUUCUGCCUCAUCAUGCUUUACUAAUCACCAUUCCCCUCUGGCUGCCACCUGUCCUGGCUCCAGCUCAAAGACCCAGUGGAAACCUUCAGGGAAAGGUGAAAUCCUUCAUUAGAGGCUGCACAGCCCUACUUCCUGCUUCUAAACUGCUUCCUGCCCGAGGCCCUCUACCAGGAGUUGAGUGGGAGCCAUCAAGUCCAGUAAUUGGACCAAUAGACACUGCUCUCUCAUCCUCUGCCCACAGACAUCAACCAGACCCCAGAGCCACUCAUCAAAUCUCCAAGCUGGGAGAGAUCUGAGAGAGAGGCAUUUUGCAGCGACAUGGGGGUGGGGAGGAAUAACACUAAAACGUGAUACGAAGAGAAAGUCUUUCUUCCAAGUCUUUUGAUGGCAUUUUCAACUCAUAAGGAGACUAAUUGCUGCAUCAGAAAAAGGAGAGCUUUGUAGAAGGGGGUGAGAAACUGCCCCUGACAUCAUCCCAAUAGCACAAGAGGAACUUUAUUCUCGGGAUGGACACACAUACACACGCGACUGAAACGGUCUCUUAAAUAUGGAAUCCCCAGAUAACAUGCAAGAGACUUAAAGGGGGGAUGUGUCGGCAAGCUGAUUGCUUCACAGCUGGAAAAAAUUAGAGACUGCAAAGGACAGAAUGGACUCAGCAAUGAGACACAGACCGGUGUUGGAAGAAAGAAGCAUUUCCCAGUUGCACCUCAAGAAGUCUUCAUUGUCAAGAGUGAACAUUCGCUGGAGUUGAUUACAGAAUCCUUGGACUCCACACUCUCUGGCGAUAAAAACACCCCUGCUGUAGUUGGAUGGCUCUCCACCCGCCGCCUCACCUCUGCUUUGCUUGGUCUCCUUGUACUCUGUGAUUUCGUAUUUCUUUUGAUUUCUUGAUUCAGCCUGGCCAUAUGUCCAGAGUGACUUUGUAAACCCAGUCUGGGCUGAACCCCAGGCUGCAAGUUGGAAUCCCUCUGGGCCUGUGAAGCUUACUGAUCUCAGGAGAGAGAACAUUUUCUUGCCAAAUCACUGCUCUCAAAACAAACUCUGGGAUGGCAGCCUCAUUACCUUGUGCCUGCCAGUGCACCCCCAGCUGUGAUGCUCUGACUCUGAACUUCUCCUCCUCCUCCCCUGUUGAGUUUAUGUGUGUUUUAGUUCCCUCCCAAGAGGGGCUAUACUUCACUGGUAUUAAAGUGAUCAGCUCUGGAGAGUUUACAGAGUCUUCCAUUUCCCCAAAAUCAAUCUUGGAUUCCUAAACGCCCACAUGUUUAGCACUUAGGAGCUGGAAGUGGCUGCGCUGGA